rnacentral:lncRNA from 1 species
UUUUUCAGGCAGCCAAAAGCAGAGCAAAUUUGUGUCCUGAAGACCUGCACCAUCAAAAGUGUCAAAGGAAGCAGUAACAAAAGGAAAAUGCUACCAGAUGGAAACCUGGACAUACAAGAGGGAGUAAAGAUUAUUGGAAAUGGAAUCUCGGCAAGUCCGAACUCUUGAGGGUAGGUUGGCUGGCUGAAGACUCAGGGAAGAGUUGCAGUUUGAGUCCAAAGGCAAUCUGUUGGAAGAAUUCCUUCUUGUUGGAGAAGGUCAGUCUUUGUUCUAUUCAGGCCUUCAACUGAUUGGAUGAGGCUCACCCACAUUGUGGAAGUGUGAGUGCGGCCAUGAAGAAAAACAGUACCUACUAGAACAAUUUGAUGCUACUGCCUGUCAUGCUAGGGCACUAGCAGUUUUACCCG